GACAGAGGGUGCAAGCGUUGUUCGGAAUUACUGGGCGUAAAGGGCGCGUAGGCGGUCCGCUAAGUUCGGCGUGAAAUCCCCUGGCUCAACUGGGGAACGGCGCUGGAUACUGGUGGACUUGAGUACCGGAGAGGAGAGUGGAAUUCCUGGUGUAGCGGUGAAAUGCGUAGAUAUCAGGAGGAACACCGGUGGCGAAGGCGGCUCUCUGGACGGAUACUGACGCUGAGGCGCGAAAGCGUGGGGAUCAAACAGG
rnacentral:rRNA from 1 species